GUCAUAUGGAGUUGGAAACUCACCCAGUCUUCCUUAAGUCAUCGUUGCCCAUACGAAGUUGAGCUCCACGGCAUGUGUUCCAUGUCAGUUGGGUUUGGCUGGUGCACAGGCGGCCAACCAAGUGGUUGUAAGUAACAGUAGCGGCAAACAGUUCCCAAGCACGGUUGUGGUUGCAGAGGUUGGUGAGGCAGCCAGGCUGGGAGAUACCGCCGUUGGGGUAGAAGUCAGCGUUAGCCACGUUUGAGCCGAUACCGAGACCGCCGAUGGUGUAACCACCAUCGGUGUGGAUAGCCUCAACGUAGACACCAUCACGGGGGUUGACACGGUUGGAGUUGUAGUUCCAUAGAGGUCCAGCAGGGUCCAAAGCUG
rnacentral:lncRNA from 1 species